rnacentral:rRNA from 1 species
AUUGAACGCUGGCGGCAGGCCUAACACAUGCAAGUCGAACGGUAACAGGAAGCAGCUUGCUGCUUUGCUGACGAGUGGCGGACGGGUGAGUAAUGUCUGGGAAACUGCCUGAUGGAGGGGGAUAACUACUGGAAACGGUAGCUAAUACCGCAUAACGUCGCAAGACCAAAGAGGGGGACCUUCGGGCCUCUUGCCAUCGGAUGUGCCCAGAUGGGAUUAGCUAGUAGGUGGGGUAACGGCUCACCUAGGCGACGAUCCCUAGCUGGUCUGAGAGGAUGACCAGCCACACUGGAACUGAGACACGGUCCAGACUCCUACGGGAGGCAGCAGUGGGGAAUAUUGCACAAUGGGCGCAAGCCUGAUGCAGCCAUGCCGCGUGUAUGAAGAAGGCCUUCGGGUUGUAAAGUACUUUUAGCGGGGAGGAAGGGAGUAAAGUUAAUACCUUUGCUCAUUGACGUUACCCGCAGAAGAAGCACCGGCUAACUCCGUG